GUUUUUCCAUGACGGUGUUUCCUCUAAAUUUACAUGGAGAAACACCUGAUUUCCAGAAAAAU
rfam:R.norvegicus mRNA for glutathione peroxidase I